CUGCUCUAUAUAUACAGUUACACAAGGAGGGUAUCAAACCCAUGUGGGAGGUAGCUCUGCUCUAUAUAUACAGUUACACAAGGAGGGUAUCAAACCCAUGUGGGAGGUAGCUCUGCUCUAUAUAUACAGUUACACAAGGAGGGUAUCAAACCCAUGAGGUAGCUCUGCUCUAUAUAUACAGUUACACAAGGAGGGUAUCAAACCCAUGAGGUAGCUCUGCUCUAUAUAUACAGUUACACAAGGAGGGUAUCAAACCCAUGUGGGAGGUAGCUCUGCUCUAUAUAUACAGUUACACAAGGAGGGUAUCAAACCCAUGAGGUAGCUCUGCUCUAUAUAUACAGUUACACAAGGAGGGUAUCAAACCCAUGAGGUAGCUCUGCUCUAUAUAUACAGUUACACAAGGAGGGUAUCAAACCCAUGAGGUAGCUCUGCUCUAUAUAUACAGUUACACAAGGAGGGUAUCAAACCCAUGUGGGAGGUAGCUCUGCUCUAUAUAUACAGUUACACAAGGAGGGUAUCAAACCCAUGAGGUAGCUCUGCUCUAUAUAUACAGUUACACAAGGAGGGUAUCAAACCCAUGAGGUAGCUCUGCUCUAUAUAUACAGUUACACAAGGAGGGUAUCAAACACAUGAGGUAGCUCUGCUCUAUAUAUACAGUUACACAAGGAGGGUAUCAAACCCAUGAGGUAGCUCUGCUCUAUAUACACAGUUACACAAGGAGGGUAUCAAACCCAUGAGGUAGCUCUGUUCUAUAUAUACAGUUACACAAGGAGGGUAUCAAACCCAUGAGGUAGCUCUGCUCUAUAUAUACAGUUACACAAGGAGGGUAUCAAACCCAUGAGGUAGCUCUGCUCUAUAUAUACAGUUACACAAGGAGGGUAUCAAACCCAUGAGGUAGCUCUGCUCUAUAGACUACAGUUACACAAGGAGGGUAUCAAACCCAUGAGGUAGCUCUGCUCUAUAUAUACAGUUACACAAGGAGGGUAUCAAACCCAUGAGGUAGCUCUGCUCUAUAUAUACAGUUACACAAGGAGGGUAUCAAACCCAUGAGGUAGCUCUGCUCUAUAUAUACAGUUACACAAGGAGGGUAUCAAACCCAUGAGGUAGCUCUGCUCUAUAUAUACAGUUACACAAGAAGGGUAUCAAACCCAUGAGGUAGCUCUGCUCUAUAUAUACAGUUACAUAAGGAGGGUAUCAAACCCAUGAGGGAGGUAGCUCUGCUCUAUAUAUACAGUUACACAAGGAGGGUAUCAAACCCAUGAGGUAGCUCUGCUCUAUAUAUACAGUUACACAAGGAGGGUAUCAAACCCAUGAGGUAGCUCUGCUCUAUAUAUACAGUUACACAAGGAGGGUAUCAAACCCAUGAGGUAGCUCUGCUCUAUAUACACAGUUACACAAGGAGGGUAUCAAACCCAUGAGGUAGCUCUGCUCUAUAUAUACAGUUACACAAGGAGGGUAUCAAACCCAUGUGGUAGCUCUGCUCUAUAGACUACAGUUACACAAGGAGGGUAUCAAACCCAUGAGGUAGCUCUGCUCUAUAUAUACAGUUACACAAGGAGGGUAUCAAACCCAUGAGGUAGCUCUGCUCUAUAUAUACAGUUACACAAGGAGGGUAUCAAACCCAUGAGGUAGCUCUGCUCUAUAUAUACAGUUACACAAGGAGGGUAUCAAACCCAUGAGGUAGCUCUGCUCUAUAUAUACAGUUACACAAGAAGGGUAUCAAACCCAUGAGGUAGCUCUGCUCUAUAUAUACAGUUACACAAGGAGGGUAUCAAACCCAUGAGGGAGGUAGCUCUGCUCUAUAUAUACAGUUACACAAGGAGGGUAUCAAACCCAUGAGGUAGCUCUGCUCUAUAUAUACAGUUACACAAGGAGGGUAUCAAACCCAUGAGGUAGCUCUGCUCUAUAUAUACAGUUACACAAGGAGGGUAUCAAACCCAUGAGGUAGCUCUGCUC